UACGCAGGGGGCUAGCGUUGUUCGGAAUUACUGGGCGUAAAGCGUAUGCAGGCGGACUUUUAAGUCGGGGGUGAAAUCCCGAGGCUCAACCUCGGAACUGCCUUCGAUACUGGAAGUCUUGAGUCCGGGAGAGGUGAGUGGAACUCCGAGUGUAGAGGUGAAAUUCGUAGAUAUUCGGAAGAACACCAGUGGCGAAGGCGGCUCACUGGCCCGGUACUGACGCUGAGAUACGAAAGCGUGGGGAGCAAACAGG
rnacentral:rRNA from 1 species